rnacentral:rRNA from 1 species
GGUUAAGCGACUAAGCGUACACGGUGGAUGCCCUGGCAGUCAGAGGCGAUGAAGGACGUGCUAAUCUGCGAUAAGCGUCGGUAAGGUGAUAUGAACCGUUAUAACCGGCGAUUUCCGAAUGGGGAAACCCAGUGUGUUUCGACACACUAUCAUUAACUGAAUCCAUAGGUUAAUGAGGCGAACCGGGGGAACUGAAACAUCUAAGUACCCCGAGGAAAAGAAAUCAACCGAGAUUCCCCCAGUAGCGGCGAGCGAACGGGGAGCAGCCCAGAGCCUGAAUCAGUGUGUGUGUUAGUGGAAGCGUCUGGAAAGGCGCGCGAUACAGGGUGACAGCCCCGUACACAAAAAUGCACAUG